CAACGACUCUCGGCAACGGAUAUCUCGGCUCUCGCAUCGAUGAAGAACGUAGCGAACUGCGAUACUUGGUGUGAAUUGCAGAAUCCCGUGAACCAUCGAGUCUUUGAACGCAAGUUGCGCCCGAAAGCUUCGGCCGAGGGCACGUUUGCCUGGGUGUCA
rnacentral:rRNA from 1 species